rnacentral:rRNA from 1 species
GUGGGGAAUAUUGCGCAAUGGGCGAAAGCUUGACGCAGCGACGCCGCGUGGGGGAGGAAGACCUUAGGGUUGUAAACCCCUGUCAGGUGGGACGAACUCCCUAUCGGAUAAUAAUCGAUAGGACUGACGGUACCACCAGAGGAAGCUCCGGCUAACUCCGUGCCAGCAGCCGCGGUAAUACGGGGGGAGCAAGCGUUGUUCGGAAUUACUGGGCGUAAAGGGCGCGUAGGCGGCCUUGUAAGUCGGAUGUGAAAUGCCGGAGCUCAACUCCGUGCACUGCAUUCGAUACUGCUUGGCUAGAGAGAGGUAGAGGCGAGCGGAAUUCCCGGUGUAGCGGUGGAAUGCGUAGAUAUCGGGAAGAACAUCUGCGGCGAAGGCGGCUCGCUGGGCCUUUUCUAACGCUGAAGCGCGAAAGCGUGGGGAGCAAACAGG